CCUACGGGUGGCAGCAGUAGGGAAUAUUGCUCAAUGGGGGAAACCCUGAAGCAGCAACGCCGCGUGGAGGAUGAAGGUUUUCGGAUUGUAAACUCCUUUUGUUAGAGAAGAUAAUGACGGUAUCUAACGAAUAAGCACCGGCUAACUCCGUGCAAGCAGCCGCGGUAAUAAGGAGGGUGCAGGCGUUACUCGGAAUCACGGGGCGUAAAGGGCGCGUAGGCGGGAUAGAAAGUCGGAUGUGAAAUCCUAUGGCUUAACCAUAGAACUGCAUUUGAAACUGUUGUUCUAGAGUAUGGGAGAGGUAGGUGGAAUUCUUGGUGUAGGGGUAAAAUCCGUAGAGAUCAAGAGGAAUACUCAUUGCGAAGGCGACCUGCUAGAACAUAACUGACGCUGAUGCGCGAAAGCGUGGGGAGCAAACAGGAUUAGAUACCCGGGUAGUC
rnacentral:rRNA from 1 species